rnacentral:rRNA from 1 species
UACGGGGGGGGCAAGCGUUGUUCGGAAUUACUGGGCGUAAAGGGCUCGUAGGUGGCCAACUAAGUCAGACGUGAAAUCCCUCGGCUCAACCGAGGAAUUGCGUCUGAUACUGGAUGGCUGGAGUUCGGGAGAGGGAUGCGGAAUUCCAGGUGUAGCGGUGAAAUGCGUAGAUAUCUGGAGGAACACCGGUGGCGAAGGCGGCAUCCUGGACCGACACUGACGCUGAUGAGCGAAAGCCAGGGGAGCAAACGGG